ACAGGUCCUCCCCAUAGGAGAUCAUAGGUAGCAGGUGAUUGUCUCUGAUAUGUCCUCCACAGGAGGUCUAUAUUGAGCAGAUUCUUUUUGGUGUUGGGUGGUGGAACCGGAGCUUGCUCCAUCCACUCCAUGCAUUGACCUGGUAUUACAGUGCUUCCAGGACCAGUGCAAAAAAA
rnacentral:snRNA from 1 species